UGCGCCAUAAAGUCAAUCAUUCGAAACUUCCAGUUCCAGAUGAAAGAUCGUUUCGUAAUUUGUUUGUGAGAGGAUGUGUAUGAAUUCUUAACAAAAUGCAUUGUUGUCUAUAUUUUGCUGUAAUUCUUUUGGUGUUUACAAAACCGUCGGAUCCAAAAAAGUCUGAUGAUGCUCUUGCUAAGUCGUUACUUCAAUUUAAAGAUUUGGUGCCAACAAGUUCCUCGGAGUCUGAAGAAAGUAGAGAAAUGAAGAAUUACUUAAAAUACGUUG